rnacentral:Y_RNA from 1 species
AGCUGGUCCAGAGGUAGUGAAUUAUCUCACUUGAUUGUUCACAGUGAGUUACAGAUUGAACUUCUUGUUCUACUCGUUCCCUCUUUCUCACUGCUGCACUUGACUAGUCUUAA